AUACGGAGGGAGCAAGCGUUAUUCGGAAUCACUGGGCGUAAAGGACGCGUAGGCGGGUUUGUAAGUCAGGUGUGAAAUCCUACAGCUCAAAUGUAGAACUGCACUUGAAACUACAGACCUAGAGUAUGGAAGGGGCAGAUGGAAUUAGUGGUGUAGGGGUAAAAUCCGUAGAUAUCACUAGGAAUACCGAAAGCGAAGGCGAUCUGCUGGGACAUUACUGACGCUGAGGCGUGAAAGCGUGGGGAGCAAACAGGAUUAGAAACCCCAGUAGUCC
rnacentral:rRNA from 1 species